CAAAAACAUCGCGUCAUGAUAACUAUUUGAGGUAGGACCUGCCCAAUGAAUUAAUUUUUAAAUGGCCGCGGUAAGCCUGAACCGUGCAAAGGUAGCAUAAUCAUUUGCUCUUUAAUUGGGAGCUAGUAUGAAAGGUCUGACGAAAGAAAAGCUGUCUUUUAUGUGAAAUAGGAAUUUAACUUUUAAGUGAAAAGGCUUAAAUAAACUAAUGGGACGAUAAGACCCUAUGAAACUUAAUAUUUAGUUGAUUUAAAUGGCGGAUAGGUUGAAAAGAUAUUUAUUUUAAUUAAUAUUGUGUUGGGGCAACAUAGAUAGAUUUAAAUUUGUUUAUAAUAAUAAGUUAAUUAUAAUUAAGAAUUGAUCCUUAAUAAAGAUUAUAAAAUUAAGUUACUCUAGGGAUAACAGCGCUAUUUUCCUUGAGAGACCAGAUCGACAGGACUAGUAGCGACCUCGAUGUUGAAUCAAGAUUUCUGUUAGGCGAAGGGGUUUAACAAGUAGGUCUGUUCGACCUUUAAAAUCUUACGUGAUCUGAGUUCAG
rnacentral:rRNA from 1 species